rnacentral:rRNA from 1 species
ACGCUGGCGGCAGGCCUAACACAUGCAAGUCGAGCGGUAGAGAGAAGCUUGCUUCUCUUGAGAGCGGCGGACGGGUGAGUAAUGCCUAGGAAUCUGCCUGGUAGUGGGGGAUAACGUCCGGAAACGGACGCUAAUACCGCAUACGUCCUACGGGAGAAAGCAGGGGACCUUCGGGCCUCGCGCUAUCAGAUGAGCCUAGGUCGGAUUAGCUAGUUGGUGGGGUAAUGGCUCACCAAGGCGACGAUCCGUAACUGGUCUGAGAGGAUGAUCAGUCACACUGGAACUGAGACACGGUCCAGACUCCUACGGGAGGCAGCAGUGGGGAAUAUUGGACAAUGGGCGAAAGCCUGAUCCAGCCAUGCCGCGUGUGUGAAGAAGGUCUUCGGAUUGUAAAGCACUUUAAGUUGGGAGGAAGGGCAGUUACCUAAUACGUGAUUGUUUUGACGUUACCGACAGAAUAAGCACCGGCUAACUCUGUGCCAGCAGCCGCGGUAAUACAGAGGGUGCAAGCGUUAAUCGGAAUUACCGGGCGUAAAGCGCGCGUAGGUGGUUCGUUAAGUUGGAUGUGAAAUCCCCGGGCUCAACCUGGGAACUGCAUUCAAAACUGACGAGCUAGAGUAUGGUAGAGGGUGGUGGAAUUUCCUGUGUAGCGGUGAAAUGCGUAGAUAUAGGAAGGGACACCAGUGGCGAAGGCGACCACCUGGACUGAUACUGACACUGAGGUGCGAAAGCGUGGGGAGCAAAC